GAUGGAGAACGUAGCGAAAUGCGAUACGUAAUGUGAAUUGCAGAAUUCAGUGAAUCAUCGAAUCUUUGAACGCAUAUUGCGCUCUUUGGUAUUCCGAAGAGCAUGCUUGUUUGAGUAUCAGUAAACACCUCAACCUCUUCUUGAUUUUUCAAAAGGAGGGUGGACUUGAGCUAUCCCAACAACCUUUACCGGUCGGCGGGCGGCUUGAAAUGCAGGUGCAGCUGGACUUUUAUCUGAGCUAAAAGCAUAUCUAUUUAGUCCUCGUCAAACAGGAUUAUUACUUUUGCUGCAGCUAACAUAAAGGAUAAUUGUCCUCUUUGCUGACUGAUGCAGGAUUUUACGACACUUUAUGUGUUGUUCAACUCGAUCUCAAAUCAAGUAAGACUACCCGCUGAACUUAAGCAUAUCAAUAAGCGGAGGA
rnacentral:misc_RNA from 1 species